UUGCUUCCACAGCAUAUAUAUUAAAAUUGGGACGAUACAGAGAUUAGCGUGGCCCUUGCUCGAGGAUGACACACAAAUUUGUGAAGUGUUCCAUAUUAAA
ensembl:snRNA U6 U6 spliceosomal RNA